GAUUAAGUUAUUAAGGGCGCACGGUGGAUGCCUUGGCACUAGAAGCCGAUGAAGGACGUUACUAACGACGAUAUGCUUUGGGGAGCUGUAAGUAAGCUUUGAUCCAGAGAUUUCCGAAUGGGGAAACCCAGCAUGAGUUAUGUCAUGUUAUCGAUAUGUGAAUACAUAGCAUAUCAGAAGGCACACCCGGAGAACUGAAACAUCUUAGUACCCGGAGGAAGAGAAAGAAAAUUCGAUUCCCUUAGUAGCGGCGAGCGAAACGGGAAGAGCCCAAACCAACAAGCUUGCUUGUUGGGGUUGUAGGACACUCUAUACGGAGUUACAAAGGACGACAUUAGACGAAUCAUCUGGAAAGAUGAAUCAAAGAAGGUAAUAAUCCUGUAGUCGAAAAUGUUGUCUCUCUUGAGUGGAUCCUGAGUACGACGGAGCACGUGAAAUUCCGUCGGAAUCUGGGAGGACCAUCUCCUAAGGCUAAAUACUCUCUAGUGACCGAUAGUGAACCAGUACCGUGAGGGAAAGGUGAAAAGCACCCCGGAAGGGGAGUGAAAUAGAACCUGAAACCGUGUGCUUACAAGUAGUCAGAGCCCGUUAAUGGGUGAUGGCGUGCCUUUUGUAGAAUGAACCGGCGAGUUACGAUUUGAUGCAAGGUUAAGCAGUAAAUGUGGAGCCGUAGCGAAAGCGAGUCUGAAUAGGGCGUUUAGUAUUUGGUCGUAGACCCGAAACCAGGUGAUCUACCCUUGGUCAGGUUGAAGUUCAGGUAACACUGAAUGGAGGACCGAACCGACUUACGUUGAAAAGUGAGCGGAUGAACUGAGGGUAGCGGAGAAAUUCCAAUCGAACCUGGAGAUAGCUGGUUCUCUCCGAAAUAGCUUUAGGGCUAGCCUCAAGUGAUGAUUAUUGGAGGUAGAGCACUGUUUGGACGAGGGGCCCCUCUCGGGUUACCGAAUUCAGACAAACUCCGAAUGCCAAUUAAUUUAACUUGGGAGUCAGAACAUGGGUGAUAAGGUCCGUGUUCGAAAGGGAAACAGCCCAGACCACCAGCUAAGGUCCCAAAAUAUAUGUUAAGUGGAAAAGGAUGUGGCGUUGCCCAGACAACUAGGAUGUUGGCUUAGAAGCAGCCAUCAUUUAAAGAGUGCGUAAUAGCUCACUAGUCGAGUGACACUGCGCCGAAAAUGUACCGGGGCUAAACAUAUUACCGAAGCUGUGGAUUGUCCUUUGGACAAUGGUAGGAGAGCGUUCUAAGGGCGUUGAAGCAUGAUCGUAAGGACAUGUGGAGCGCUUAGAAGUGAGAAUGCCGGUGUGAGUAGCGAAAGACGGGUGAGAAUCCCGUCCACCGAUUGACUAAGGUUUCCAGAGGAAGGCUCGUCCGCUCUGGGUUAGUCGGGUCCUAAGCUGAGGCCGACAGGCGUAGGCGAUGGAUAACAGGUUGAUAUUCCUGUACCACCUAUAAUCGUUUUA
rnacentral:rRNA from 1 species